rnacentral:SRP_RNA from 2 species
GCCAGGUGUGGUGGCGCACACCUGUAGUCCCAGCUACUCAGGAGGCUGACACAAGAGAAUCACUUGAACCCAGGAGGCAGAGGGUGCAGUGAGCAGGGAUUGCGCCACUGCACUCCAGCCUGGGUGACAGAGUGAGACUCUGUCUCAA